AUGCAUAUGAUGAGCUCUACUCGGAUUCCCCUUCAAGACUUCAUGGGUGAUGCAACUUGAGUUUCUGAUGCA
rnacentral:snoRNA from 1 species